GCAACUUGUAUAUACCAUGAGUUGUGGGAAAAUAUUCCCCAGGGUUUGGAGUAUAACUUACUUUGGAUGGAGCCCAAUAACUUUAAUUCAGGCUCAUGGCUCAGAAUCGUAGCUCCGCUUGUUCCUAGGUGGUCCUGGAACCUAACCCACACAAUAAUUGAGGGAACACUGUAAGUGUGGCCAUGUGAAGCAGGAUAGUUGCAAGAAGCAGCCAGUGGAAGCAGAGAAAACCCAGGAAUGAAGAAAAGAAGAAAGCCAUCCAGACGGGACAUUAAAAUCAUGAGGACAAAUGGAGAAUAUUUGGGCCAGUUUUGAUUCACCUUCAUCCAGCCCUGCCAGUAACUGAAUUACUGGCAGACCGAAGACCUGCGUACAUUCAACCAAACCACUCAGUUUCUGCCAGAUUGAAGACCAUCAGCCAAAUCAACCAAAUUUCUGCAAAAGCCACAGGCUUAAAGAUUGAGAAGAAUUCUUUGGCAACCAUCAACUCUAAACUUGAGUGUAAAAGUCUUCGACUCUUCAUUUGCUGCUGUCAUUUUUAUUACAACUACUACAGUA